GCUCUCAUAUGGACAGUGGAUCUCUUGGGACAACUGCCUAAAAGUCUCCCUCUGUCUCUACUGUUACUCCUGGCUGUGUGUGAGAGGCUGAGUGGGUCGCUGCUCUGCUGUGUCUCCAGAGUGAUUUAUCAGGUUUUCAGGGAGGGGAGGUAGGGAGAGGGGGGAGAGGAGGGAGACAACUCCGGUGGCAGGCAGGCAGCAGUUACCAGCCAGCUGGCUGGGUGUGUUAACUCCACAUCUCCACAUCUGACCUCUAUGGGAACAGAGCAGCCUCCACUCCUCUCCUGGCAGGCUGUGGGAACGAGGAACAGGUCUUCAUUUUUACCCCCCGAGCCCCGGGGAACCAACCCCCGGACAGAGCAGGACAUGACAGGACACCUUUGGCACGAAGAGCCCAGUUGGAGACCUGGGCUCUGAGGAUUGCGCUGCCGACUGACUCUUGGAUCUGAGAUGGCACAGUUGGCAGAUUUUGGUUGAUAGUCAGGAAGUCGUGCAGUUGUCCAGUCAGUCAGUAGGCAGUCAGAUGGUUAGUCAGUCAGACAGUACAUUGGUCUCUUGUGUCCUUCCCAAAGGGUCAACUCUGCCACUUUGUGCAUAUUCUCAUCUGAACUCUGAGGUGACUCAGAUCUACCGAGUAGCAACAGUGGACCUGUGGGCAUGGUCACAGGUGCUCCGCAGCUGCGUGUGGAAGAAAGCAUCUGGAGCGCAGGAGGAUGUUGGAGAAGAUACAGCGGGCAGGGAAGGGCAGAGAGGUGCGGAGCGGGAUCCUGCCCCUGCCCCGGCUGUGGUGGGGAGGGUUCCUGGCACGGUGAUUUGAUGCACAAAGAGAAACAAAAAUCACAUUGCCAGGGAUUUCCACUCCUUCACAGCUCAGCAGAUGACCCGAUUGCCUCAUUAUGUUUCCACUGGCGGAUGUGUGGUUCUGAUUUUUCUAGUUAUCUGACACGGGAUGUUGCUAUGGAGUCAAAGAAAUAAAUAUUGGUGGAGGUUAGACAGAUAUUGUGAUCAUCUCUCUCAGCAGACUUCAAGACGUCAACUUGUGGAAUUAGAUUGUCACACGUGAGACUGUCUCCCUUAAGAAAUAGUCUAAAAGCAUUUCAGGCUGCAGAGCUGUUAACGAGUAAAUGUGAAGAGCCAUAAAGAUUUACAAGUUUUACCAGGCGGAUCACUUUUCAGCUCUUGGAUUUUAGAUUUAAAAACCAAGGAGACGGUUUUCGAUUUCAUAAACGCUAGGAUCCUCCACUGGCUGCACAGUGAAACCCAAUAUGAAUGAGCCCUCUUGAAACUGAAGUAAACCCUAAGCAUCGUAAGAGACUUUGCAACCAGCCAAACUUUACCACUGAUCACGUAAAGGUCUGCGUGAGUCUCUGUUCCCUCAGAAAGCCAGCCACCCACUUGCUAAAGGCACAGAGCUUAGCUAAUUGGUGAGCAUUGAUCCCUGCUAUGUGUUGUUCACAGUGGCUAAGUUCAGUGCCUGAGGUGAAAUAGUUGAUUCGACGGUGGGGAAUUUGUUUCAGUGAAUGGAAUGAACCUGAUGAUCUCGGAUAUGAAGAAAGGAGGAGGGAGGAGGAGAUUAGGUAGCAAAAGAGCGAGUGACGCUGGGAGGUGAGAAGACAGACACCCGGGGGAUCAAGGUCCUAUAUGGAAUUAAACCUGUUCUGUGGACCGUACGCAGGUCUCGAUUGUGCAACGUGGUCCAGACGUGAGGAGAGCUGUGUGUUUUUUAUUGUGUGCCUGAAGCAACGACUGAGUUAUCUUACCUUUUGCAUCUGGCAAGAAUCACUGUGUGCGUGUUUGAAAGCGUUUCACUGAGACAGUUUUACCGAGGUUUAUUGUGGACUUAUUAAAUGCCACGAGUUGUGCUGAGAUUUUAGGAAUGUGGUGCUAAAUGUCAAGCCUGUCCGAGCAUGCCCGGCUGAGUCAGCUCAGGACCAGUGUGCCAGUACUCGGGUGCCACAUGGCAGCCGGGACUUAUGUGUUGAAGGCGUGGGUGCGAUGAGAGUGUAGGCUAAUGUUAGCAGCUACAUCACGCUCUUCAUUACCCUGCGCACCGACAUAGCCGGGCAAUCAGGAUAUUGUUUUCACCUCUGUGUGUGUGUGUGUGUGUGUGUGUGUGUGUGUGUGUGUGUGUGUGUGUGUGUGUGUGUGUGUGUGUGUGUGUGUGUGUGUGUGUGUGUGUGUGUGUGUGUGUGUGUGUGUGUGGACAAAAUAUCUCAACAACUCAUGGGUGGAUUUCCACCAAACUUGGAUGGAAUAUUACUUGGGAGGGUAUCACAAGAUGAUUUACUUUUGGAGCUAAUCUGUCAAAGGUCACGGACCGCAACAGUAAAAAACAUGGUCUGAAGAGAGACAAUGAGGUUUAUGCUGAUCAGACAUAUAUCCCCCAGCAAUUGACAUCAUAUCACAAAGAAGUCAGGAAGUGCAUCAUAUUAAACGUAUGUGGAUAAAAAAAUGAUUUAGCUUCCUCUUGACGUCAUCAUGAAGUUAGUAAGUGACGUCAGUUAGUUUAGUGCUACCAAUAUGAUUAGUAACACAUGCUACAGUUUAUUUAGAAUAACUAAUCAUGUUGAAUCUGUAAUGCAUAUUAAAAGAAUCAGUCCAAUAGCCUACAUCAUACAUGGGUCAGUCCAGGAAAGGCAGGCAGGCUAAACAGGUGUUGCAGCAGUAGCAAAAAGGAGGGACAGGGGUUAAAGUAUGUUCUUACUCUGCAUGUUACCAUCUAAUCUUUUGUUGGAUUAUAAAAAUGCCGGGUGUCUCAGCUCGCACGCUGCCCCCCCACGCUGCCCCAUGAUCUCUGGGCUAUGCCCUCCCGUGCCUACUGAACUGGUAUCAGUGUUUAAUCUGAAAACUGGCUCAGUUCAGCAGGAACAGGAGUGGAGUCCUCUUACUGGCAAGAUCUGUCCCGUGUUACAUCUCCAACCCGCAGUGAGCAUGCAGCAAGGCAGCCCAGCCCAGAUCUGGCAUUUUGGUGUCGCCUCGUUCCUUUGACCACACCCAGAGAUGCACGGGAAGUUAGCCUCGAGCCACUGGCCCUGGUGAAAAGUAAACGUGACCCAUACAACCUGUCAGACGACAGCACUGAACCUUGAAGCGUAUGUAAAGCAGAGCAGCUUGAGUGUAAUCACUGUCCGUGUCUUUGAUAAAGCAUGAAUGUUUCAUAAGCAGAUUUACAUUUUCUUUGCGUAUUAGGUCGGCCCUGGCGUCCCGAGCUGUUGAAUACUGUCACUGAUGCAGUCGAUCUUUUUGUUCUGCUCAGCCUUCAUGUUUAUUUGAGCAUUCUUCCAUCGACAAGGCUGCAAACGCGUCUCUUACACUCUCACGCCCGUGUCUCUCUCUCUCUGACUCCUUCUGUCUGUGUGUGCUGUCAAAGGCCAGGCGGAGACUGGAGUUCAUUGUGAGGUAAUUCCAGUGAAAUGUGCCUGUGUGUAAUUGAUGUCACCCAGCAGUCUCCAUUAUCUGUGAUUGGGAAUGUGCACAACGCUGCUUCCUCCCAACUCUCCAGAUAAUUUGCAGCCACCAAAGGAAAAAGCGCUUCAUCUUGAAGAUAUUCAUACCCACAGGAAAAUGGAAGCUCGUUAGCAGAUGUGAUGAAUCUGCUCUUAUCCCGCUACUCCGCCGAUCGUGGUUGACACCAUAACAUUAUUUUUUAUGUCUUUAGGAGAUUACCAGCACUAUAGUUAGAAAUUUUUUUUUACAUUGUGUCAGUGGUGUGAUGUUGUCUUCAGGGCAUUGUUCAGCCAGGUGUUACCGCUGACACAUUAGCUAUGAGUUAUGUAAGCACUUAAUCUGACUAAAUGUUGCAUGAGCUUUAUUAUUGUAAAUGUCACUAAGUUUCCAACUACUUUCCUAUCAUGAGGAGCGUGAUUUAUUUUGAUAUUGCAGGUGCAACCAAUGUUUCAUUUAAUCACUGAACUUACCACAAUCUAAUAAAAUACACUUUGAAUGAG